CCCUUAGAUGUUCUGGGCCGCACGCGUGCUACACUGAGUGGAUCAGCGGGUCAGGUUGCGCGAAAGCGUUUCCUAAUCUUUAAAUCCGCUCGUGAUGGGGAUUGACGGUUGCAAUUUUCUGUCAUGAACGAGGAAUACCUUGUAAGCGCGGGUCAUCAUCCCGCGCUGAAUACGUCCCUGCCCUUUGUACACACCGCCCGUCGCUCCUACCGAUUGAGUGGUCCGGUGAGGCUUUGGGAUCUGAGCGGAAAGAGCGUCUCGCUGUUUCUGCUCGGAAAACUCAGUCGAACCUUAUCAUUUAGAGGAAGGAGAAGUCGUAACA
rnacentral:rRNA from 1 species